rnacentral:rRNA from 1 species
AACGAACGCUGGCGGCAUGCCUAACACAUGCAAGUCGAACGAGACCUUCGGGUCUAGUGGCGCACGGGUGCGUAACGCGUGGGAACCUGCCCUUAGGUUCGGAAUAACUCCCCGAAAGGGGUGCUAAUACCGGAUAAUGUCUUCGGACCAAAGAUUUAUCGCCUUUGGAUGGGCCCGCGUUGGAUUAGCUAGUUGGUAGGGUAAAAGCCUACCAAGGCGACGAUCCAUAGCUGGUCUGAGAGGAUGAUCAGCCACACUGGGACUGAGACACGGCCCAGACACCUACGGGAGGCAGCAGUGGGGAAUAGUAGACAAGGGGCGAGUGCCUAGUCCAGCAAUGCCGCGUAAAUGAUGAAGGGCUUAGAGUUGUAAAGCUCUGUUACCCGGGAUGAUAAUGACAGUACCGGGAAAAUGAGCUCCGGCUAACUCCGUG